rnacentral:rRNA from 1 species
CCCUUAGAUGUUCUGGGCCGCACGCGCGCUACACUGAUGCAUUCAACGAGCCUAGCCUUGACCGAGAGGUCCGGGUAAUCUUUGAAACUGCAUCGUGAUGGGGCUAGAUUAUUGCAAUUAUUAAUCUUCAACGAGGAAUGCCUAGUAAGCGUGAUUCAUCAAAUCGCGUUGAUUACGUCCCUGCCCUUUGUACACACCGCCCGUCGCUCCGACCGAUUGAGUGUGUUGGUGAGGAGUUCGGAUUGGCUCUUAGUGGUGGUUCGCCACCACCUAGAGCUGAGAAGUUCUCCAAACCGCCCCACUUAGAGGAAGGAGAAGUCGUAACA